rnacentral:rRNA from 1 species
AUUGAACGCUAGCGGGAGGCCUAACACAUGCAAGCCGAGCGGGAUUUGAGACUAGCUUGCUAGUCUUAAUGAGAGCGGCGUACGGGUGCGGAACACGUGUGCAACCUGCCUUUAUCUGGGAGAUAGCCUUUCGAAAGGAAGAUUAAUAUCCCAUAAUAUAAUGAUUGGCAUCAAUUAUUAUUGAAAGCUCCGGCGGAUAGAGAUGGGCACGCGCAAGAUUAGCUAGUUGGUGAGGUAACGGCUCACCAAGGCGAUGAUCUUUAGGGGGCCUGAGAGGGUGAUCCCCCACACUGGUACUGAGACACGGACCAGACUCCUACGGGAGGCAGCAGUGAGGAAUAUUGGUCAAUGGGUGCAAGCCUGAACCAGCCAUCCCGCGUGAAGGACGACUGCCCUAUGGGUUGUAAACUUCUUUUGUAUAGGGAUAAACCUACCCUCGUGAGGGUAGCUGAAGGUACUAUACGAAUAAGCACCGGCUAACUCCGUGCCAGCAGCCGCAGUAAAAC